AGUCGGACGAUCGCGGCGAGUUUAACUCUCGGUGAGGAAAGUCCGGACUCCGCAGAGCACCGUAGCAGGUAACGCCUGCCCGCCGUAAGGCGAGGAUUAGAGCAACAGAGACGAGCCGAUUCAGUUCGGGUGAAACGGGCAAUCUCUACGGGGAGCAACACCAAGUAAGCAGUCGUUUGAUUUCUGCUCGAAAAAAGAUUGCGGGUAGGUGGCUUGAGGCCGCGCGCGAGCGUCGGUCCUAGAUGAAUGAUCGUCACCGGCACCAAAAUGUGCCGUCACAUAAUCCGGCUUACAGAUUC
rnacentral:RNase_P_RNA from 1 species